rnacentral:tRNA from 1 species
UGGGGAUUAGGUUAAUGGUAGACCACGUGACUCUGACUCACGCCGUGGGAGUUCAACUCUCUCAUCCCCAG